ACUUUAAAAGGAUUUUCUGAUGCUUUCCAUGUUUUCAUCUAUUACAAGUGGGGAGUUUUAGGAAAUUGCUUUUCUAAAUGGACGUGGUUUCUUUUUUCCUUGUCUUCUGUUCCCUUCACUCUAGAAAAUGUAAAAGUGUUGGAAGACAAGAUGCUUUAUAGGAAUGAAUGUGAUCCUGCAAAAAGACUGAGCUCACAUGUCUGUGAUUCUGCGCCACAAACUGAAGCCCACAGUGUUCCCCUGCCUUUGCUCUCCAGUGGGGGGUGCUGCCAUCCCCUUAAAUAUACAGACAUUAGAGGGUCAUCCCAUGCGUCUCUGUACCGAGUCCAUGAAACGUGUUUCCUGUGGCGACAGGUCUGACAUUUUGCCCUGCGUGUGUCCAAUCCAAAUGCCAGUUCAGCGGACCAGAAGACACCGAAAUGGCCCUGGCAUUUGCAGCAUUGCUUCUCUCUCCCUGUGGUUUCAGCUUUUUCAUACAGUGACAAGGAUAACACUCUGUUUAAUCUGCAGGGUGUAAACCUGGAUCAGAGCCAGAUGUUCACACCUUGCCCCCUCCCUCUGAUCAAGCUGGCGGUUUGGCAGCAGGAGUCAGAGCCCUCAGUGACCUCGCGGAGAGCUGGGUGUCCCGAGGAGUGAGUGAACUGGGUGAACUGCAACAGACCGGAGAGGUGAGGACAUGUGAGAUGUGAGGAGGAGAACAGUUAGAGAUGGAGCAGAGGAGAGGGAGGGGGUUGAUCCAUGUGUCAGGAUAUGAGACGUCUCCAAGGCAACAGAAGUUGUGUGGAAGCGGGUUGGCAGGAAGGAGAAAGAUGGAUGGCAACAAUAAGAGAGAGUGGGGUAAAAAUGAACCCUAUGACGCGUCCGCCAUAAUGAGUGACCAUGUGUGUGUGAAUAGUCAGACAGAAACACUCUGUACCUGGAGGAGCACCAGACCUCCCGCAGGGCUCAGUCUGCAGCCGCAACUCGUACUUCCUGUUCUUCCAGGAAGACAAUCGGGGCAUCUACCCAGCAUUUUAAAGUAGUUAAAUUAGCUCCACCUUCACCAGCUGCAACAUUAAAGUGAUGUACACAUGACUGCAAUAAUUAUAAUCCAAUAACAGGCUACAUUAUUCUGGUACUUUAAAGCUGCAGUCGGCAACUUUGUGCAAAUAUGAUAAAAAGUUAUUUUUAUAAAACGCUUACCAAUUUCUGACAGUAGUGAUGUUACUGUAAUGCCUAUUUUCUCGUCUCAAAUGUUUUCAGAAACAUCUUGUAGUGUACUUUUUAGCUGUAAAAUGAGAAAGUUUUGCUCUGGCUGGUGGGCGGUGCUU